GACGUAGGGCGCGAGCGUUGUCCGGAUUUAUUGGGCGUAAAGAGCUCGUAGGCGGCUUGUCGCGUCGACUGUGAAAUCCCGCGGCUCAACUGCGGGUCUGCAGUCGAUACGGGCAGGCUAGAGUUCGGCAGGGGAGACUGGAAUUCCUGGUGUAGCGGUGAAAUGCGCAGAUAUCAGGAGGAACACCGGUGGCGAAGGCGGGUCUCUGGGCCGAUACUGACGCUGAGGAGCGAAAGCAUGGGUAGCGAACAGG
rnacentral:rRNA from 1 species